CAGAUUUUUGAACAUAGCGCCCUUCGAUACCUAGCGCAAAAGAAGCGCCUGUUUCUCCUCUACAAGACCUAUAUAGUCAUUCCCCGUGACACCCCUCAUUAUUUUUCUCUAGAAGCCCUGGAAUAGGCCGACCCUCCUAAUUUUUUUGACAUUUUUUUUCAAAUUUUGAGCUCUAGAUUAAACAAUGACAUAAAAGGUGCUAUAUUUUACAGGGUAGGACUACUUUUACAUACGUUCUA
rnacentral:lncRNA from 1 species